UGGACGGCGACGGCGAACUCCCCUUCGAUUUCUUCUCGCAGACGGCGUCUUCCGGUGCUGCGGCGCACCACAUCGACGAGGACGGGUGGGGGAUUACGCCCUCGUCUCCGGGGAUCCGCCGGCCGCGGCUUGGUGGCAGGGGCGCUCCGCGCUCCCAUCGGGUUGGAUAACAUCGACCUCAACGGCGACUCCGCCGUCGCCGCCUCCUACCCCAACCUGGGCAUGUACACGCAGCUUUUUCAUCCCGGGAGUGCGGCCGGCCAUGGUGUGCCCCUCCAGCGGACCAGAUCGGACGGCGUGGCGCAGCGGCAGGGUCGUCCACCUCGCCAAGGUCUCCUCCCAGUGAGGGCCCCAGAUCGUCGUGGCAAGCAGGUCGUCGCGACGUCGGGACGAGGUGGUGCUGGUUCAAGUCGCACAGGCAGCGGCAGGCAGCAUCGAUCAUGGUAG
rnacentral:rRNA from 1 species